rnacentral:lncRNA from 1 species
AAAAACUACCUUGGCUCGUAAAUAUUUCUCGUAUAUGACCGGUGUCGCAACACCCUAGUGCCUGUGUCGGAACAUUGAAGGCAGUAUGCUCGUACUCAGGGUAGCUUCAAGGGUGUGCCGUGACAUCCAUUGGUUGUGUUGUGAUGUUGAAGGCAUUCUUGGAAUUCUUACUCUAUCCUUCCUAUGUUGCAACAUUAAGCUCC